rnacentral:lncRNA from 1 species
CGAGUCUAGUGCUAUGGUGGCACCAGCUAUCAUUCAGGGUACGCUUUCUGUUCAUAAUUCUACCACUUGUGCUUUGAUUUAUCGAUCCUGUCACUGACUUAACAAUGCCUAUUACAAGUGUGGGAGCACACAACACUUUAUAAAGGACUAUCCCCAGAAUCCACGGGACAUUACUAGACUUAUUACCCAACAUCUGGACGAGUCUGGUGCUGUGACGACACUAGCUAUCAUUCAGGGU